AUGAGUGACUAGAAGUGACAAUGAGCUCUUCUUCACCAAGGUGCUUCACGGGGCUGCCUUCUGGGAAGCUUCAGUUGUGCAUUAGGCAAACAUUACAAAAGCACUGAUAAAAUUCUAAGUAAAAGGCAAGGAAAACCAUCCAUGAUCCCAUCGCCCCAAGAACCGUCAAGCUGUUUGCAGAUUUUCCUCACUCUCUUUUGCUCAGAGCCACGUGAAUAUACAACGUCACUGGCAUAAUUACAGCAGAGAGACAUUUUGCAUCCAUUUAUUCCCCCUGCACAUCAUAUGAGCCCUGAGCCAACUUCUAAGAAGUUUUCUGCCCUAAAGCCACAAUGCUGGAGAGAGAAAGAGGAUGUGCCAAGAAUACACAGCCAUAGAGGUGCCCUGGGACGCCACGAGUCCUCCCAGCAUAUACCAUGGGACACGAGAGGGAGCUUUCAGAUGAUUCCGUUUUCCAGCUUUGAAGAUGCUCCAGCCAAUACCCAGUGGAACACAGAUAAGUUGAUCCCACCAAGCUUUACCUCAAAUGCAGAUCCAGGGGCAAAAUAAAUGUUGUUGGUUUAAAUCACUAAACUCAGGCUGCUUAGUCACACAGUCACCCAGUAAUGAGUGGAACACAUUUAACUUGCAGAUGGGUGCUUCUUCAACUCCAUCCAUUUGCAUAUAUUGAAAGCCUGGGCUUUCAAGUUACCCUUCCCUGGUUCAUACGAUAUUUUCUUUAAUAUAUUUUUUAUUUCUUAUUCAUAUACAAAUAUUUUUUUAAUUCUCAUUGCUCAUUUCAUUAAAAUUGUAGGUAAAGAGGAAAAUAUGGCCUCAAAUCACCACAGAAAAUAGAGAUUUGGCUUCCAAUUCAGACACUAUGUUAUAUGCUUAAGUCCCCAUUCUUUAUUCACGUGACAGUAUAAAUGAAUUUAUCAGAUCAGCCAUUGUCAUUAGCCCAGCUAUUACUCUCUUUGGCCGUACCUGUGUGUAUACAUGAUAUUAAUAAUUUGGGGGGAUUUUAUGUGUUCAUAUGUUCAAUUGAUAGGAUAAACUAUGCCUAAAUGUUGUUAAUUCAGCAAGGCAGCUCAGCACAAAAUAACCAGAGCAGAGUGCUACCUAAGGAUAAGUAACAAUAACAAUGCCCUCCCAAUUUCAUGUGGAAUCAACAGAUUCUCAAAUCACCAGAAUCUGUAUAUAGAAUGUCAAAAGCAAAAGAUUAAAAUUCCAAAAAUAUGACAGUUUUGUAAAAUGGGGAAUAGUUGAUCAUCUUCCAUCUGGGUUGACAGAUGAUCUGAAGUGUUGAAAAUAUUCCUGAACAUGCUCUGUUACAGAGGAUUUGCAUUGUCCUCUUGUCCUAGUUGGUUUCUAGAUGUUGAGCCCUGAAACAUUCUUUUCCUCAUCCUAAUGGGCAUGUUCUUUUUUGCAUUUCUUCUUCUAAUGACAACAUUUGAAGAGUCUUUGGGGGAAAUAAGCUCUCCGGUGAAGGUGGGAGAGGCAGAGAGUCACUGGUGAUGCAAAGAGCACAGGUGCAGAGGCUGGAAUUGGGACUAGGUCUUGGCACUGCCACUUCUCGGCUCAUGAACAUGGGCAAGUUACCAUCUUGGAGCACCAGUGUCUUUCUCUGAGAAAUAGGCAUAAUUAUACAUAUCAUUUUGCUCAGGCUGUCAUAAGAAAGCACCAUAGACCUGGUGGGUUAGACAACUGAGACUUAUUUUCUCAUGGAUCUGGAGGCCAGAAGUCCAAGGUCGAGGUGUCAGCUGGACUGGUUUUUUUUCUGUGGCCUUGCUCCUUGGCUUGCAGAUUGCCGUCUCCUCCCUGUGUCUUCAUGAUCCUCCCCCUGUGCCUGUGUCCUAAUCUCCUCCUCUUUCAAGGACACCAGUCAUGUUGGAUUAGGCUUCACCACAAUGACCUCAUUUCAACUUAAUCACCUCUUUAAAGACACUCUCUCCAAAUGCAGUCACAUUCUGAGCACUGCGGGCUAGGGCUUCAACAUAUGAAUUUUGAGAAGACAGAGUUGGGCCCAUAACUCCUACCCUAAAAAAGGUGUUUUGAGAUACUGUAAAUGAAGUUUCUAUACACAAUAAAGAUGCUAAAAAUGUUAGCUCUGUUUCUUCCUUCUCUCAGCUCGAGAUUCCUUUGUCCAGGGUGGUAGAAAGGAAUG